AACGCAACUAGUAUGCGCUCGAACACGGCAUUGCGCACAUCGUGGGGCAAGAGUGGGCGCGUGCAAAAAAAUUUCACGACGGUGGAAAGUCUUAUUUUCUGAGUGCGACCACAGUCGACUCCCGCUACAACAAACCGGUGUCUCGCCUCCCUUCUCUUCAGCUUUCUAUAACGAAUCUACUUUUAGGCUGACGCCAGGAAUCGUGGCACAUUUCCAACUGGGCAUGCUGUGUGCUGUGUGUAUGAGCGAUGUCGUCGACUUCCAUGUCACAGCUCAAAAGGGAUACAGUUGUGUGCCGUGCAUAGCUGGAAGCGUUGCUGCAUUAAGGCGCCCAGGGAGAGGAUGGAUGGGAUGGAGGAAGAGGAGGCAACUGUCCGACAGUGUGACACUGUGACAGUCUGGCCGCAGAAUAACGUCUACUCUCUGCACUCUAUGUACAUUGAGGGAAUGCGAACACACAGAGAGAGCUGUGAGCUUGUUAAUACACGUACCGUUAAAACGCAGCAUUUCCCUACAACUCUCUCUUCGCUCCUUGAAUCGGGAGUCAACAACAUGUAUGUAAAUAUGUACUGUUGUAAGUAUAUACGAUAUGUGCGUACUUAUUCCGGUUGAUAAACAAGUUUACGGGUCUGGCGCAGCUUAAGGCAUGUCCAGCAAUAAGGAUUCGCCUAGACAAAUGCCUGCGAUGAGACAACUCGAUUCUGAUACGGAGUUAUUUAAAAAUAUAGCUGAAUGAUGUAAUGACAAAAGGAGGAACCUCACACUUUGCCUUAAUCAUCUGAUGCCGCCUCUUGACUGGCCAACGCACCCAACAAUAAAGAAAUAAUCAUUUGUUAUCAAAUAAAAAUACUUAAGUACGCAAUGAAAUGCUAAUGAAUGCUUCGCAUUUUGCAUCAAUUAUUUGUAAACGUUAAUGAAAUUGAACAAAAGCAGAGUAUAAAUAAUUUACUUUAAAAAACGAUUUGGAAUUUUAAGAGAACAAGUUUUGUAAUAAAUACUUUAUAAGUAAUAUUUUCAUUGAAAUUAUUUUAUAACUUUGUGAAUAAAAACAAAAUGUACCUGUCUAUAAUAUAUUAUUAUGUGAUAAUAAGUAUAUUAAAAUAAUAUAUAAAACAAAACGAACAGACCGAAGUGUUCAAAUGUUAGAUUUGCUUACACACUUAAAAAAAGAAAGAUAUAAUUCAUAAAGCUAAAUUUUAAAUUAAUAUUAGUGCAGACAUGCGAAUUGUAAAUUAAGAGAAUUAAAAGAAUAGCAUAUAGAAAAGUAUUAACUGUGGAUAAUUGUUUAAUUACUUAAUGUACCUACCACAUUCUUAAAAUGAACUAGUACCUACUCGAAAAUUAUGCUGAAAAUUUCGAGUUUUAAUAUUAUUACAUGUUUUACAAGUUUAUCAAAAACAUUCUUUGAUAAAGAUAAU